rnacentral:tRNA from 1 species
GCCUGGGUGGCUCAGUUGGUUAAGCCUCCGACUUCGGCUCAGGUUGUGAGCCCACACACGGCUUGUGGGUUCGAGCCCCACAUCAGGCU